GAACCAGCCGGUCAGACUGAACCGCCCUAUUUGAACAAAACGACGCCGUUUUGCUUAAGGAAAAGAAAAAGAAAUCAGAAAAGCGUGUGCGCCCCUCAGCAGUCACCCUUUCUCCAAUCUCCUUCGUAGUUCCUUCGACUUCGAGUUCAGAGAGCAGAAGAAGCCCUCAACCUCAACCACCGCUGCAAGGAGGAGCCGUGUUUGCCGCCUUCCGUCGCAGUUAGGGGCUUGUCUCCUUAAGUCUUCGUGCGUCGCAGUGAAAGGCGUUCUCCAAGUCUUUGUCUGUUCGCAAUCACCAGUCGCAGGCGCGCAGCUUCUUCCUCGAGCUCGGCGGCCAUCGUCUGUCGCCGUCCGUCCUCCUCUGCCAUCGAAGGGUUGUUCUUUGCCAUCUUGGGAACGCUGUUGUUCAUACGAGGGUUCUACUACACAAGGAUUGCAUAUUAUGCUUACAAGGGUUACAACUUACAAGGGAUUCUCUUUCUCUAACAUACCUCGAGUUUAGUUUACUAAUAUAUAUGUAUGUCAUAUUGUUAAACCAUAUAUACUGGCCUACUUGCUACGACUGUUAGGAUUUUGUUCUAUCUAGCGAACCAUUCUGCUCUGAAA